GUCCAUAUAGCUCAGCAGGUAGAGCACAAGCCUCCUAAGCUUGGGGUAACAGGUUCGACUCCUGUUAUGGACG
rnacentral:tRNA from 1 species